rnacentral:rRNA from 1 species
AUUGAACGCUGGCGGCAGGCCUAACACAUGCAAGUCGAGCGGAUGAGGGUAGCUUGCUACCUGAUUCAGCGGCGGACGGGUGAGUAAUGCCUAGGAAUCUGCCUGGUAGUGGGGGACAACGUUUCGAAAGGAACGCUAAUACCGCAUACGUCCUACGGGAGAAAGUGGGGGAUCUUCGGACCUCACGCUAUCAGAUGAGCCUAGGUCGGAUUAGCUAGUUGGUGGGGUAAAGGCUCACCAAGGCGACGAUCCGUAACUGGUCUGAGAGGAUGAUCAGUCACACUGGAACUGAGACACGGUCCAGACUCCUACGGGAGGCAGCAGUGGGGAAUAUUGGACAAUGGGCGCAAGCCUGAUCCAGCCAUGCCGCGUGUGUGAAGAAGGUCUUCGGAUUGUAAAGCACUUUAAGUUGGGAGGAAGGGCAGUAAGUUAAUACCUUGCUGUUUUGACGUUACCGACAGAAUAAGCACCGGCUAACUCUGUGCCAGCACG